rfam:Dictyostelium discoideum mitochondrial DNA, complete genome.
GGAGGGAUAGUUCAAAUAGUUAGAACAAAUGUCUCCAAAGCAUUAGAUAUCAGUGCAAGUCUGGUUCCUUCUG